UACGAAGGGGGCUAGCGUUGUUCGGAAUUACUGGGCGUAAAGCGCACGUAGGCGGAUCGAUCAGUCAGGGGUGAAAUCCCAGAGCUCAACCCCGGAACUGCCUUUGAUACUGGGUAUCUGGAGGUCGAGAGAGGCGAGUGGAAUUCCGAGUGUAGAGGUGAAAUUCGUAGAUAUUCGGAGGAACACCAGUGGCGAAGGCGGCUCGCUGGCUCGAUACUGACGCUGAGGUGCGAAAGCGUGGGGAGCAAACAGG
rnacentral:rRNA from 1 species